GACGAACGCUGGCGGCGUGCCUAAUACAUGCAAGUCGAACGCACUCUCGUUUAGAUUGAAGGAGCUUGCUCCUGAUUGAUAAACAUUUGAGUGAGUGGCGGACGGGUGAGUAACACGUGGGUAACCUGCCCUAAAGUGGGGGAUAACAUUUGGAAACAGAUGCUAAUACCGCAUAAAACCUAAACACCGCAUGGUGUAGGGUUGAAAGAUGGUUUCGGCUAUCACUUUAGGAUGGACCCGCGGUGCAUUAGUUAGUUGGUUGAGGUAAAGGCUCACCAAGACCGUGAUGCAUAGCCGACCUGAGAGGGUAAAUCGGCCACACUGGGACUGAGACACGGCCCAGACUCCUACGGGAGGCAGCAGUAGGGAAUCUUCCACAAUGGACGAAAGUCUGAUGGAGCAACGCCGCGU
rnacentral:rRNA from 1 species